GAUUUCGCCGGUCGGAGAUCCAAAGGUCUCUAUUAUUCCGAUUCUUGACCGUUGGAUUGAAGAAGGAAGAUCCGUAAAUAAAAACCAACUCCAAGUUUUUAUCAAGGAAUUUCGGUACUACAAGCGUUACAGUCAUGCUCUUGAGAUUUCAAUGUGGAUGACUGAUAAAAGAUACUUUGCACUUACAACUCGUGAUGUUGCCCUCCGGCUGGACUUGAUAUCAAAAGUUCAUGGUAUAGAACAAGCGGAGAGAUAUUUCAAUAAUAUUCCACAACAACUCAAAGUCCUUGAGGUUUAUGGUGC
rnacentral:misc_RNA from 1 species